CAGAGAAUAAAUAAAUCUACUGGACUGAAGGUAAUCCAAGGUAACUCACGGGAUACAUGCUGCCAAAUUUAUAGCAAGUAACCACUGCUUUAGGAGUGCAGACUUUGCAUGGAGAUGCAUGCCUACACCAUACUCUCUUCUUGUAGGUCAUAGCUCCCUAAUUUUUGGGGAGGAUUUAUUGGAACGAAAGCCUUUCCAAAACCAAGAUAUAUUCUUUUAUUGCUUCUCAACCACUCAGAGCCACUGAGUCUUCACAGAAGGAAAUUUACUUCUUUGACAUGGCUUGCUCUUGACAAAUUAGUUCUGGUUGUUUCUUGUCAAGUUAUUAUCCUCUAAGUAUUUAACAUUAAUUAUUUAAUUAUAUGUUUUGGUAGCUUUGUUGAUAUCAGAGUGAAUUUGACAUAUCAGAUUGAUCUUUCUUUACUCCCAGUAGACCUCAUCAACUACUAUAAGGUCUCACAAACAAAUGAUAAUUAUUCAGAAAUUGUUUCACAUAAAUUCCGUAUGUACUUAAAAAGGCAAAUUUAAUCAGUUGUCACUGAUCUGAGCACACCUUAUCUAUCCAAAUAUUAUUUCAAUCAUUCUUUAAUCUAAAUUUCAGGCUAUUGAGCAUCAGGUCACAAUUGGCCUUUUGCAUCGAAAUUAAAACAAAAGUAAAAUGACUGAAAAUUUCAUCUUCUCAGUGUCAUCACUAAUUGCUCCUCUUUCCAUGUGAUUAUGUCCCAUGCUUUCUUUAGAUUCCUUCCAAUGUGUUAAGCAAUUUUUUGUCUUAUGUUCUUUGCUACUUGUAAUGUAUUUUGAAUAUUGGUUGGGAAAUAUUUGGAGUAGGCAGGUGCCAGUAAGCAGGUAGCUAACAGUGAGUACUCCAAGCCCAUGGCUUCUGCUUACCUUGCUGGCUCUGUGCACGUCAGACAGAAGAAUUGUGGAGCCAUCAGAGACCUAAACUCCUGGACACUGCGAAAGCCAAGGGAGUCCAAAGCCUUAAGGAAAUAUUGAGGAUGCACCUAAGUCUCAUGUAGGAGCUUUAAAUGCAUACAGCUGUGAAAUGGAUGCGAUUUGUCACCAAUUUUUCAAAGGAAACAGGAAGUACUUCAGCUCAGUUUACCUGAAAAUCGAAAUUACACUCUCUAAAGUUUAGGGAGUCUUUUCAAUAUUUUACAUGAAGUUCUACCCAUUUUGCUUAGUUUUGUUUUGUUUCUUUUUAUUUCACAUAUAGCAACCAUAUUGCUUAAGCUAUGACUUUGAGAGUUCCUUCCUCAUUGGGACAACCAUGCUAAAGGAAUUUUGCUAAAAAUAAAAUAGAAGAAACAUUCUCAGAAUGAAGCUACACAUGGGGCUUUUCCCUGCUUCACAUUUUUCUUCAGAAUGUACAUAAUUUUCUAAUUAAUUAUUUGAGAGAAUGUUGGAAGUUCUUUAAAGCAGGUGAGCAAAAACAUAUGUCCUGGUUUUAGCUGGGACAGAGUUGAUUUUUCCUUCAUCAUGUCUGGUACUAUGCUAUGUUGUGGCUUCAGGAGAAAAACAAUGUUGAUAAUGCAACCAAUGUUGCUGAUCAGGGCUGCACAGAGACAGGGACAUUUCAGCUUCUUGUACUGUCUUGAGAGGGGGCACAAGGAGCUGGGACUGAACCAGGAUAGCUGACCUAAACUGGCCAAAGGGCUAUUAUAUAUCAUAUGACAUCAUGCCAAAAAAAAAACCACUUGAAAUAUGGUGGGGAAUUGGCCAGGCAAGCAGCUGCUGCUCAGGGACUGGCUGGGCAUUGGUCAACAUGUGGGGAACAAUUGCUUCUGAAUCACUUGUUCAUUACUAUUAUCUUAUUUUCCCUUUCCUUUUCUAUCUUAGGAAAUAGUUUUUAUCUCAGCCCUCUGAUUCUAGUUGGUGUUAGUUUUCAUUUUUUCCUUUCUAAUCUCUGGCCAUUGCCACUGGGAGUGGGGGGUGAGUGAACAACUACGUGCUUCUAAGCUGCCUGCCAGGUUAAACCACAACAACUUAAAAGUAAUAUAGAAGCAGGAGAGCAGCAAUUUUGUUCAUUUUAUUUUUGAGAAGUUGCAACAUUUAUCCAUGCUUUGCUGGCUUUGUGGAGCCCUGAUGAAGUGCCUCCAAUAAGCAAGCAAUGGCAUCUAAAUAAUUUAAGGGAACAUUCACAGCAUUAUAAUGACUACUAACCCAUCUGAAGAGUAAAGGUCAGUAAAUCUAUUAGGGUUCUUGUGCUUUGCCUUGCUGAUAUUUCCAGUUCUGUUAGCUCAUUUCCCUCUUAUUUUUAAGAAAGGCUGUACAAUUUGACCUUGAAUUGAUUAGUGGCUUAUACCUUUAAUUGUACUGCAAGCAGCAGUUAUAAAAACACAAGAAAGACGAGACUACAUAAACAUUGACAAACUUUUUUAGUUCAGUUUUAAUUAGCAUUUCCUCGGCUAAUUGUGGUCCAGUAGACUAUGCAAUAUCACACAAUCAGCUAUAAUUGUAUUCACAUCAGAAAUUGUUUAACAGGUUUGUGACCCAUUAAUAAAUUAAAUUCAUUUAGCAAUAUGGCACUCAUCGCCUGACUUUCACUGAAAGCAUUCAGCUGCAGAAGUUCAGUGCACUGGCUAAAAGGUAAGAGGCACAGGCUUCCCUUCAUUGUUUUGAUACUGCCUCAUGCUAUAACCACAAGCUCAGUCUUCCUGUGUCAUUUGUUUUCUGUCUGUAUCAGUGCUAUUGAAGAUAACAGGAAAAACAACAACAACAACAACAAAAAAACACUCUUCUUUGAAGAUUGCUGGCAGCGAAAAUAAAUUGCUCAAUAUUAUGAGGAUUAGAAUUAGUAUUUCUGUUGGAUCAAGGACAAAAGUCAAAGAAAAUUGAGAUUUAUGAACCUCACAAUAAGGUACAUGUUAUUCUAGUUGUUUGGAUUGAAGCUGGAGGAGCAAAAUAUUCUUCUGCUAAAAAAAAGAGAAAGUUGGGGGAGGAAAAGCAACUGCUGGCAUUUGUGGAGAGCCAACUGCCAGACAGGAUGAAUGCUUUAAAAAAAAGCCACCCAACAGGUAACUGUAAAAUGGUAUGUUCUCUUUCAGUAGCAUUGGUAAAACUCCAAGACUAUGUCACUCAGUUGUUUUCCCCUUCCACACAGUCACAGAGAGUGCAGCUACAUAAGUACGGGGGAGAAUGAGUCAAUACAUUUUCAAAACUUAUCUAAAAAUUGUAAAAUGUUGUCCGGAGGCACUUCUUCUCCUGUUUUCCCAUUUCUUUCAUUCCCCGUCUCUCAUGUGUGUUUUGAUCUUGCUUCUGUUCUUGGCCAGCCUCUGGGCUGCUUGCACAC
ensembl:lncRNA